rnacentral:lncRNA from 1 species
GGUUCUCCAAAUAGGACCUCUCGGCGGGACUCAAAACGGGCUGCUAAGCGGAAUGAGCUGGCAUCUUCAGGCUUUUCUAGUUGCACAAGAGUACGUGAUUAGUUGGCAUCCUCAGCAUUUCUAGUUGCACAAUACCAUCCGACUAGUUGACAUCCUCAGUCCUUUUGUAGCUGCGUUGACACCCUCAGCAUUUUCUUCUAGAAGCCUGGAACCUGAAUGUGCACUUUUUUUGAUUGGUCAUGCAAGUGCCGAAUAUUUCUUUUCCCAAGAGUAUCUAAUCAAUUGGCAUCCUCAAGAUUUAUAGUUGCACAAGAGUAUUCAAUUAGUUGGCAUCCUCAGCCUUUCUACUUGCACAAAUAGGCCUUUCUAGUUGCACAAGAGUAACUAUUUUUUAGUCCCAUCUUCAAAUUUUUGAGAGUUUCCCAAGAGUAUCUAAUGACUUGGCACCCUCAGCCUUUCUAGUUGCACAGGAGUAUUUAAUUAGUUGGCAUCCUGAGCAUUUUCUAGUUACACAAUAGCAUCUAACUAAUUGACAUCCUCAGCCUUUCUAGUUGCACAAGAGUAACUAUUUUAGUUGGCAUCCUCUGCAUUUUGUAGUUGCACAACUAACAUAAUAUCAAGUUGGCAUCGUCAACCUUUUUUAUCCAGUUUUUCUGAAGAACAACAAAUAUUUUGUAUGAAGUGUUAACUAAUCACCUUUGGCACAUUUUGUUUGCAAAACCUCAGAUGAUCACGUUGGAAUGUGAUUACCUUUGGCACCUUUUUCUGAUGACAGUAAAUAGAAUUUCAUCUUCUUUUCUGUUUCACUUUUAGUAUAUAGAACAUCCUAUAAAACAUAUUCCCCCUAUUGCAAUUCGUGUGAGACAAGACUAUUUGUACGCUCAUUUUUAAUAUUGUUAUUGUGCUUUUUCUAGUCUGAUUUCUUUGUUGCACACAUUUACAGCAAAAGUUGGCUUCGGAUACAAGUUUAGCUUCACAAUUAUAUGUUUAUAUUUGCACAGACAACAAAUUCAGUAUUUCUUAGUUCCUAAAAUCUUAAAAGUGCACGCACACUAUUUGGCAAGAGCGAGCGGCCAGCUCCUAGCCGCACGAUCUCCUGGUGUCGUCGCGAGUCCCACCUGGAGGUGCUACUUGGUCGGGGAGACACUCGCUACGCGACACACGCUUAUCCUCUCGGCCUUUUUUUCUAGACCGAUUCCCUCCGUGGCGGUGCCCCUGCUUCUCCCCUUCCAAUCCAUGGUGCCGCCUUGCUCCUCUCGUUCCCUUCCUUCCGAUGGCGCCGCCCUGCUCUUCCCCGUCCUCCCCAUGGCGCCACCCUUCUCUUUCCCUUCCUUCCAUGGCGACGCCCUGCUCCUCCACUUCCUCUCCAUAGUCGAUGAUGCUGCUGCAGAUGGCGGGGCCAAGGACGACAGAGCAACUGCCGUAGAGGGCGGCUUCUGCGGCACGGCCAACUGCCUAGUAGUUGAUGUGCACGCCAACUUCCUAGUAGUUGAUGUGCAACUUUCCCCCUCCCCGUGUUUGUGUUUCAUUGUUUGCUGCAUCGGCCAACUGUCUAGCAGUGGAUGUGCAACUUCAGAUACUGCCACGGCCAACUAUUUUACGAGUGAUGUGCACCUUUCCCUCAUACCCCGUGGAUGUGUAAUUUCCCUACUAGCACCCGGUCCAAACCACCCCUCUAGUACAAUGUGCAACUUAAUUUAGCGCCCUGUUUAUAUGGAACUUUUCACUACCCUCAUGAAUAUAUGACUUUUCACUACCCCUCGUGAAUGUGGAAUUUUCACGAUCCAACUGUCCCUGCCUGUGAGAUGUGCAACUUCAUAUGUUGCUCCGGCCAACUGCCUAGCAGACUUUGUGCAACUCCGUUUGUUGCCCCCGCCAACUGAAACUGCAUAUCCACAAGUAGGGAGGGGAAGGAGUUGCACAUCGAGUAAUAGGCAGUUGGCUCUAACAACAGACUAAGUUGCACAUAUCGCUGAUAGGAGAGAUGGAGCAGGGUGUGUCAACUAAAAAAAACUACACAUCCACGAGUAGGGACAAUGGUUGCACAUCGACUACUAGAUAAUUGUUUGGAGGAGUAGACUAGUUGCACAUCAAGUUGUCAUGGUUGCUAGGUGGCAACCUCAUAUGAAGUUAGAUCAUGCAGCUCCAAAAACUGGUUUCGAAAAAAGUUGCACUAUGUAGUACUAAAGUUGCACAAUGCAGUACUGAAGUUGCACCAUAUAGCAUCAAAGUUGGCAUCAAAAAAAAUUCAUCGAAACAUAUCCAUGCGAGAUCUAGUUUUAAAGAUCUCGCCGCGAAGAAUCCAACGGAGAAGACGGAUCUAAAUUUUGAUGCGCGGUUUGGAAGAUAUGGCUUUUUCAAAAUUUGAAAACCGAAACAAAUGCACGUGUGAUAUGUUUUUCUCAACUGAUGUGACCGAUGUGAAUGCAUUAAAUGUCAAAAGAGACAUGCACUAGCGGACAAAAAUUACACACAUGCAUGUCGCAAUCCCUAAAUAGUGCGCUAAUAAGAAUCCAAGUUACAAAAUUAGGGGAUAAAAAAAAUUCUAUUUUAGGCCGGCCGCUCGCGCAGGCCAGCGAGCAGCCGGCCGCUACGUAGACUCGUCCAUUUCUCUUUUUACUUAUAUAUAUAAAUAAUUAAUCUUUUCUUUUGAAAAGUUAAAUGAUUUUGGUAGGGUUCACGAUGACGGUGAGGAGCUGAGGACAGAAGGGGCAUUGGACAUGGGGGGUGGAGAAACCGCGUUGCGGCGUGCGCCGCGCAACGAGCGCGGUGGGCACGGCGGUGUGUGUGUGCUGCUGGCCGCUGCCGGUGCCACACCCGUCCUGCCGGCUAAUCGUCUCAUCACGCCACGUCGCCUCUUUUCCUUCUAUAUAAUCUCUCUUCUCUUGGAGUCGCUGCUGCUUCUCGAGAAAGCCAUCUCUUUUUUUUCCGGUUUCUUUCUCCUUCCAUGAGGACACUGACCGUGGCCCUGUGGCAGUCAUUCUUCUUGCUUCCCAAGCUAGCCAGGUGGCCCUGUGGCAGUCAUUCUUCUUGCUGCCCAAGCUAGCCAGGGCUGCCUUGUGAAUCCAGGCGUGUGCGUCAAGCCGAGGUAAGGAGCUGCAAAUAUUUAUGUAUGUAAUAAUUUCACCAGAUCCUAACUGCUCGAUCCGUAGUUUAAUCAGCCAGCAGUUUCCUGCAACGAUGACGAGUAAACUAAUCACGGUGCUCGGCAUCAGCUUGUUUUGUGCAUAGGGUAGGCCGUACGGAAUAACCAACAGAAUGUACUUACUCCAGUAAGCAUGGUUAGCAAGUGGAGCAUUGUUAUGCGGCGCUGUGUGAACAGCAUUCAGUUGAUAACGUUGGAUACUGACUCGGCACGACGGCGACACUGUCCUGUCCUGCCUGGCACACAUGGACGCUCCUGUCGUCUUGCUCUCAUCGUUGCUUCAACACAAAGAAAAGGAAGAA